UCUCCUCUGUUGCACGUAGAGCAUCUGAGACCAGCACCUUAAUUCAGGAGGAGACCACGCACACCCCCCAAAAGCCUACACAAAGGAGAAACAGAAGGAAUAGAAAAGGACGCAUCAACAACAGGAACCCGCCAGACCUGUUGCCACCAGGUUUUCCUUUGGUUUUGAAAGUCCGUAAAGAAGCUAUGAAUUCCUUGAGUGGCAAUGGUUCUGAAAAACGAGGAAUGGUUUCAACAGUAGAUGCUGCAAAUUCGACUGCUUUGGAGAUGUUUUUUACAGUGUAGUUUGUUAAUAAACAUGCUCUGGUUUCAUUCUACUUUUUCAGUUUCAAAUCUGUCAUGAAAAGUAGGAUUAUGGAGUUUUCUACACUCCGUCCUCGUCAACAAUGUUUGAAGUGAUCCUUA